ACUUUGUGGCGGAGUCGGGGCCCGGCUUCCCCGCAGUGGCAGAAGUCGGCCCGGGCCGACCUUGGGCUCCGGGACUUGGUCGCAAACGUCUGCGAAGGUGCAGCGGCCUUAGUUCUGAGCGCAGGUACGUCCCUGUCCUUGAGCGAAGCGAAACGACCCGGCUCCGAGCACGUGGCCGAUGGCGGCCGGAGGUUCCCAGGCCUGUGUUGAGUGCAAAGGCCCGAAUCCUGCUUUUCCUUCAGGAAAAGGAAAUUUACAUACAGAGGCUCCACCCAACAGAAAGCCUGCGUCUAAAGCGUUUUAAGAGACUGAGGUCCACGGGGUCUCCUGAUGAGAGGGGGAGUGCAGGAAAUAGGGAAAGAGAGAACGUGUAAGAACAAAUGCAGAGUCGCCCUUUCCUGUGGCCUUUUAAGGUUGCUGCAGUGCUUUAAGAGGCUAACACAGAAGGGUAAAGUAAGACUCCAUAAAACCCAGAGAAGAGACUGGAGAACUCCUCUCUGGAUCCUGUCUGGAGUCACAGCUGAACCAGAAGAAAGUAACUGUUUUGAUGAUAAGCAAAAUGUUGACAUUUGAUGCUUUUUCUAGACUAUUCUGGGAUACCACAUAGUAUUUUCAAAUAGAUAAGAGAAUUUAGAUACUUUGCUUUUCUUUGAAGGUAGAAAAAUGCAGGUUAACUGGAACACAUGUACACACAAGACUUUACCUGAAAAUCCUUUGAGGCAAAUGGAAAGACUCUAUCUCAGAUUUCUUCUAGCUGUUAAAAAGUCAUUUAAAAACUUUUUCUUGUUAACAGGUUGAAACUACAGGGAGAAGCCAGUCAAGCCAGAUGAUCUGAUGCUGGUAUUUUAAAUGACUUAUACUAUCGUUCUACAGUUCCAGGAAAGAACCACUAAUGAGAGAUGGUGCAGUAGGCUGAAUAACAACCCCAAAAGGUAUCAGAUCUUUUUUUGAAAACUGGAAAUGUUACCUUAUUUGGAAGAACAGAUGCGAUGAAGUUAAGGAUCCUGAGAUGGGAGACUAUCUUCAAUUAUCCUGGUAGGCUCUAAAUGCAAUCACAAGGGCCCUUUUAAGAGGGACAGAGAGGGAGAUCCCAACAGAGAAGGCAAUGUGAAGAUGGAGCAGAAAGAGAUUUGAAAAUGCUGGCCUUGAAGACUGGAGGGAUGCAGCCACAAGCUAAGGAAUGCUGGGAGCCACCAUAAGCUUGAAAAGGUUGCCACAGAACCAAUACUGAAUGAUGGGGAACCACAUUUAAACAGCAUCAUACGAGACACUGGAAAGGAAAUUCGGGCA